rnacentral:rRNA from 1 species
AUUGAACGCUGGCGGCAUGCCUUACACAUGCAAGUCGAACGGUAACAGGUCUUCGGAUGCUGACGAGUGGCGAACGGGUGAGUAAUACAUCGGAACGUGCCUAGUAGUGGGGGAUAACUACUCGAAAGAGUGGCUAAUACCGCAUGAGAUCUACGGAUGAAAGCAGGGGAUCGCAAGACCUUGUGCUACUAGAGCGGCCGAUGGCAGAUUAGGUAGUUGGUGGGAUAAAAGCUUACCAAGCCGACGAUCUGUAGCUGGUCUGAGAGGACGGUCAGCCACACUGGGACUGAGACACGGCCCAGACUCCGACGGGAGGCAGCAGUGGGGAAUUUUGGGCAAGGGGCGAAAGCCUGAUCCAGCAAUGCCGCGUGCAGGAUGAAGGCCUUCGGGUUGUAAACUGCUUUUGUACGGAACGAAAAGCCCCGGGUUAAUACCCUGGGGUCAUGACGGUACCGUAAGAAUAAGCACCGGCUAACUACGUGCCAGCCGCCGCAGUAA